CCUACGGGAGGCUGCAGUGAGGAAUAUUGGUCAAUGGGCGGGAGCCUGAACCAGCCAAGUCGCGUGAGGGAAGACGGCCCUAUGGAUUGUAAACCUCUUUAGCCGGGGAGCAAUGCCGGGCACGUGUGCCCGGACGGAUAGUACCCGCAGACAAAGCAUCGGCUAACUCCGUGCCAGCAGCCGCGGUAAUACGGAGGAUGCGAGCGUUCUCCGGAUUUAUUGGGUUUAAAGGGUGCGUAGGCGGAUUGUUAAGUCAGCGGUAAAAGGUCGGGGCUCAACCCGGCCCGGCCGUUGAAACUGGGGAUCUUGAGUGGGCGAGAAGUAGGCGGAAUGCGUGGUGUAGCGGUGAAAUGCAUAGAUAUCACGCAGAACUCCGAUUGCGAAGGCAGCAUACCGGAGCCCGACUGACGCUGAGGCACGAAAGCGUGGGGAUCGAACAGGAUUAGAUACCCUUGUAGUC
rnacentral:rRNA from 1 species